rnacentral:rRNA from 1 species
GCAUGCCUACAACAUAGCGUUAAUGCACCAAAUCCCAUUAGAACUCCGCAGUUAAGCGCGCUCAUGCUAGAGUAGUACUGGGAUGGGUGACUACCGAGGAAUUCCUAGUGUUUUACAUGCC